rnacentral:rRNA from 1 species
CGCGCAGGCGGCGCGAGAAGUCAGGCGUGAAAGCCCCCGGGCUCAACCUGGGAGUUGCGUUUGAUACUCUGGUGCUGGAGUACGGGAGAGGAGAGUGGAAUUCCCAGUGUAGAGGUGAAAUUCGUAGAUAUUGGGAAGAACACCGGUGGCGAAGGCGGCUCUCUGGACCGUAACUGACGCUGAGGCGCGAAAGCGUGGGGAGCAAACAGGAUUAGAUACCCUGGUAGUCCACGCUGUAAACGAUGUGUGCUAGACGUUGGCGGGCCUAGCCCGCCGGUGUCGCAGCUAACGCUUUAAGCACACCGCCUGGGGAGUACGGCCGCAAGGUUAAA